rnacentral:rRNA from 1 species
UGGGGAAUAUUGCACAAUGGGCGCAAGCCUGAUGCAGCCAUGCCGCGUGUGUGAAGAAGGCCUUCGGGUUGUAAAGCACUUUCAGCGGGGAGGAAGGCGUUAAGGUUAAUAACCUUGGCGAUUGACGUUACCCGCAGAAGAAGCACCGGCUAACUCCGUGCCAGCAGCCGCGGUAAUACGGAGGGUGCAAGCGUUAAUCGGAAUUACUGGGCGUAAAGCGCACGCAGGCGGUCUGUCAAGUCGGAUGUGAAAUCCCCGGGCUCAACCUGGGAACUGCAUUCGAAACUGGCAGGCUAGAGUCGUGUAGAGGGGGGUAGAAGUCCAGGUGUAGCGGUGAAAUGCGUAGAGAUCUGGAGGAAUACCGGUGGCGAAGGCGGCCCCCUGGACAAAGACUGACGCUCAGGUGCGAAAGCGUGGGGAGCAAACAGG